CCUUCAGCGUUCCCGCGCCACCUGCCAAGACCGGCCAGCGGCCCGCGCCUUCGCCGAAUUCGCCAUGACACGAAGCGCAGCGCUCCUGAAACAACGCGUCCCCCUGCUUCACCGUGCCCUUGCCCGGUGGCAAUCCCUUGCCGUCCGGUAUCCCACGCCUUGAUUUCUUCUGGCAGCGCGGGACGUCCGAGUCCAAGCUUAGACGAGGU
rnacentral:misc_RNA from 1 species